rnacentral:rRNA from 1 species
GUAGGUGGCAAGCGUUGUCCGGAAUUAUUGGGCGUAAAGCGCGCGCAGGCGGUUCUUUAAGUCUGAUGUGAAAGCCCACGGCUCAACCGUGGAGGGUCAUUGGAAACUGGAGAACUUGAGUACAGAAGAGGAAAGCGGAAUUCCACGUGUAGCGGUGAAAUGCGUAGAGAUGUGGAGGAACACCAGUGGCGAAGGCGGCUUCCUGGUCUGUAACUGACGCUGAGGCGCGAAAGCGUGGGGAGCAAACAGGAUUAGAUACCCUGGUAGUCCACGCCGUAAACGAUGAGUGCUAAGUGUUAGGGGGUUUCCGCCCCCCUUAGUGCUGCAGCUAACGCAUUAAGCACUCCGCCCCGGGGAUACGGCCGCAAGGCUG